rnacentral:rRNA from 1 species
GAUGAACGCUGGCGGCGUGCCUAAUACAUGCAAGUCGAACGCAUAGCGAAAGGUGCUUGCACCUUUCAAGUGAGUGGCGAACGGGUGAGUAACACGUGGACAACCUGCCUCAAGGCUGGGGAUAACAUUUGGAAACAGAUGCUAAUACCGAAUAAAACUUAGUGUCGCAUGACACAAAGUUAAAAGGCGCUUCGGCGUCACCUAGAGAUGGAUCCGCGGUGCAUUAGUUAGUUGGUGGGGUAAAGGCCUACCAAGACAAUGAUGCAUAGCCGAGUUGAGAGGCUGAUCGGCCAACUUGGGACGGAAACCCGGCCCAAACCCCUACGGGGGGGUGGAUGAGGGAAUCUUCCAAAAGGGGGGAAAGCCGGAGGGGGCAACGCCGGGGGGGGUAGGAAGGCUUUGGGGUGGUAAAGCACUUUUGUAUGGGAAAAAAAGGUAGAAAGGGAAAGGAUUUUAGGUUGACGGAACCAAACCAAAAAGGGACGGCAAAAUACGG